rnacentral:rRNA from 1 species
CCUGGCUCAGAAUGAACGCUGGCGGCAUGGAUUAGGCAUGCAAGUCGAACGUGCUCCCUUCGGGGAGAAAGUGGCGAAAGGGUGAGUAACACGUGAGCAACCUGCCUCCGGAUCCGGAAUAAUCCAGGGAAACUUGGUCUAAAACCGGAUGAAGACAUUGGUCCGCAUGGUCUAAUGUUAAAAUAUUUAUAGUCCGGAGAGGGGCUCGCGGCCCAUUAGCUUGUUGGCGGGGUAAUGGCCCACCAAGGCUACGACGGGUAGGUGGUCUGAGAGGAUGGUCACCCACACCGGGACUGAGACACUGCCCAGACUCCUACGGGAGGCUGCAGUCGAGAAUCUUCCGCAAUGGGCGCAAGCCUGACGGAGCGAUGCCGCGUGAGGGAUGAAGGCCUUCGGGUUGUAAACCUCUGUCAUCCGGGACGAAAACAAUGACGGUACCGGAAAAGGAAGCCACGGCUAACCACGUGCCAGCAGCCGC